UCAAAAAGAGAAUUGCGAAUAUUUGGAGGC
rnacentral:piRNA from 1 species